rnacentral:rRNA from 1 species
ACUUAAAUUGAAGAGUUUGAUCAUGGCUCAGAUUGAACGCUGGCGGCAGGCCUAACACAUGCAAGUCGAGCGGUAGCACAGAGAGCUUGCUCUCGGGUGACGAGCGGCGGACGGGUGAGUAAUGUCUGGGAAACUGCCUGAUGGAGGGGGAUAACUACUGGAAACGGUAGCUAAUACCGCAUAACGUCGCAAGACCAAAGUGGGGGACCUUCGGGCCUCAUGCCAUCAGAUGUGCCCAGAUGGGAUUAGCUAGUAGGUGGGGUAACGGCUCACCUAGG